AUGGGUAGUUUCGUCCUUUCGUCCCACACAGCCUUUAGUUCCAAAGUGGCCCGUUCAGUUUCCAGCGAAACCACGAUCUGGAAAAAAAGGCGAGCCACGAUCUCUCCUCGACCCCACCUGUUACUCGCCGCGGAUUCCUCUCCGUCGCUUCCUUGUCGGAGCCCUGGAUCCUCGUGCAGCCCCUUCCGUGGUCACCUCCUCGCACGCCGCCGGCCGGUCUCUCCUCGCCGGAAGCCCGGGGUCCUCCUGCACCCUCCUACGCUGCGUCCUCAACUGACGACGCCGGACGUUCUCUUCCUCGGACGCGGCUGGCCAAUUCCUACCCCAACGCCGCCGGCCCUUCUUCCUUCUCCAACGCCGGUCCGCCUCCAAAUUUCGAGCUGCUGGCCCCGUUGCCGGUCUUACAUGGACUCUGAAAGUGAAGAUGGGAUGGGUGAUUUGCAUGGUGAUUUAUUUGGAUACAAUACGUCUGACAACCACAACAUGGAGGAAAAUAGCAAUGAGAUAGGAUCUCAUGAGUCUGAAGCCAUUCAUGGCAUGUUUAGUAAUUUGGGGGCAGAAAAUGAGGCUCUAGAUGAGUACUGGAAAAUUGUCCAGAUGACCUUUGAAAGUGAAGAAGACUCCGAUAACUUCUAUAAUUCAUAUGCUAAAAAGAAAGGGUUCAGUGUUAGGAAGGAUACCGUGAGGCGUGAGAACAAAAUAGGAGAGAUUUUCUUUAGGAGAUUUGUUUGCUCAAAGGAAGGGAUUCGUGAUCCAGCUAUGAGGGACAUCAAGGACCGAAAAAGAAGGGAAAGAGCUGAGACUCGUGAGUAUUGUGGGGCUGAACUGAGCAUUAGACUUGAUAAGCAGUGCGGAAUCUGGUUUGUAGACAAUUUUGUAGAUGACCAUAACCACAUAUUAACAACUCCAGAUGAAACCCAAUUUCUUCGUUCCCAUAGGAAAAUCAAAGACCAUCAGAAAUCAGAAAUAGUGAUGAUGGAAUCGAUGGGCCUCCGUAAGCAUCACAUAAUGGAUGUCUUUCAGUGCACGAGCAGUGACAAAGCGGGCGCUGGAUUUAUCGAUAAGGACCUAUACAAUUUCUCAUCUAGGUACAAGAGGUCUAGAAUUGCGGAUGGUGAUGCAAAUGCUACAAUACGGGCGUUGAAGGCUAGGAAGGAUAAGGAUCCAGAGUUCUUUUUUUAG
rnacentral:rRNA from 1 species